UGGCGCACGGGUGCGUAACGCGUAUGCAAUCUACCUUUUACUAGAGUAUAGCCCAGAGAAAUUUGGAUUAAUCCUCUAUAAUAUCUUUUAAUUUCAUGAUUUUAAGAUUAAAGUUUUAACGGUAAAAGAUGAGCAUGCGUCCUAUUAGUUUGUAGGUGAGGUAACGGCUCACCUAGACUACGAUAGGUAGGGGCCUUGAGAGGGGGAUCCCCCACACUGGUACUGAGACACGGACCAGACUCCUACGGGAGGCAGCAGUAAGGAAUAUUGGACAAUGGACGAAAGUCUGAUCCAGCCAUGCCGCGUGCAGGAUGAAAGCCCUACGGGUUGUAAACUGCUUUUAUACAGGAAGAAACACUCCGACGUGUCGGAGCUUGACGGCACUGUAAGAAUAAGGAUCGGCUAACUCCGUGCCAGCAGCCGCGGUAAUACGGAGGAUCCAAGCGUUAUCCGGAAUCAUUGGGUUUAAAGGGUCCGCAGGCUGUUUUUUAAGUCAGAGGUGAAAUCCUACAGCUCAACUGUAGAACUGCCUUUGAUACUGAAAAACUUGAGUUAUUGUGAAGUGGUUAGAAUGUGUGGUGUAGCGGUGAAAUGCAUAGAUAUCACACAGAAUACCGAUUGCGAAGGCAGAUCACUAACAAUAUACUGACGCUCAUGGACGAAAGCGUGGGGAGCGAACAGGAUUAGAUACCCUGGUAGUCCACGCCGUAAACGAUGGA
rnacentral:rRNA from 1 species